CCUACGGGGCGCAGCAGUGAGGAAUAUUGGUCAAUGGGCGGGAGCCUGAACCAGCCAAGCCGCGUGAGGGAAGAAGGUACAGCGUAUCGUAAACCUCUUUUGUCAGGGAACAAAGGCGGGGACUAGUCCCCGGAUGAGGGUACCUGAAGAAAAAGCAUCGGCUAACUCCGUGCCAGCAGCCGCGGUAAUACGGAGGAUGCGAGCGUUAUCCGGAUUUAUUGGGUUUAAAGGGUGCGCAGGCGGCCUGUUAAGUCAGCGGGAAAAGCCCGGGGCUCACCCCCGGCGAGCCGUGGAAACUGGCGGGCUGGAGUUGGAGAGAGGUACGCGGAAUGCGCGGUGUAGCGGUGAAAUGCUUAGAUAUCGCGCAGAACCCCGAUUGCGAAGGCAGCGUACCGGCUCCACACUGACGCUGAGGCACGAAAGCGUGGGUAUCGAACAGGAUUAGAUACCCCGGUAGUC
rnacentral:rRNA from 1 species